GCGCCAACUUUCCCUCUCCCCGCUCCGGCGGGACCGGCCUGCCCGCGCCCGGCCGGGCCUCAGGCGCGCUGGAGCGCAGCGGCUGCCGGCAAAAGCAUCUCGUCCGCAGCCGGGCGCGGCACUGCCGCCUCCCCGCACCUUCCCGCCUCGGCAGGUGUGCUGCCUUGGCUGCUGCGCUGCUUGCUUCCCAUCUGCAUCUUCCCGACUUUCUGUUUUUGUUAGUAAAAUACACCGCUUAAACUAUCAAAAAACGAGGUACUUCUUUGAUGCAGACUAAGUUUUAAAACUAGGGGAAAAAUACAGAAGUUUUAAGUACCUAGGGACUAAGUGUUGCGCUAGAAGUAUGAAGAAAUGGUGCUGCUACAAAACGAUGAAGCUAGCAUGUGUUUCAGUUUAUUGAAGUUUUAAUAAGCCUGCCUGAAUACGUGAAAAAAAUCACUGAAGCUUAAAUUGCGAGUGUAACGUUACAUUAAUGUAGCAUUGUAGGUCAGCAAGAUGAAAGGUGUGGUUCUCAUAAUUAUCACAAUGCCUAGUAUGAUGUAACAAAACCACACACCACAAAACUGUGUAAUUCAUGACUCGACAUGGUGCAGGUAUACCAUUGUGAUAGCGUUGGGUUUUUUAAUCUCAGAUUCUUAGCUUUUCCUAUACCGUGCAUCACACUACACCAGAAAAGCUUACGGGAAAUAGUUCCCCAAAAUGAAAGUUCAUAAGUCAUCUUACACAUCCCUUGAGUGCGUUAUCAGCCUUUAGGUGCCACAGCCCACAGGGUGUCAGAGAAGAUACAGCCCUGCCCACGUGGUCUAGCGUUAUCGAUUGAGCAUGGCCACAUUUAAAUAGAGCAUGUCAUUUACCAAGGCUUCCAGGACACGCAUCUGAGGCUCUGCACAUGGUGUCACAGAAGCUGCUGAUUUGAGUACAAACUGCUGUGGUAUGAUGUAAGGUUGCUUGUGCUUCAUUUUUAAUGUUUCACCUCUGCAUGACAACAGGUUGAACUUCACCUGCUUGUGGAUAGAGGAUGUGGCAAUGUUAUGUUACCUGUAUGAGACAGUGGGAAAAUCAGUAGGGAGUUGAACCAGUGACACCAAAGUUCUUAUGUGAACUUCUGUGGUUUGGUGUGUGCAAGGAGCUCCUGCCACAGCCUAAGGGAUGACCAUCUAUGGAAACUCACCAGAUAAGUGCUCAGCCACAAGGUGAUCAAACUUUCUGAAGGCAACUGGGAAAUAGAGGACUAAAUGUCUGAAGAGGAGCUUAUGUUGGAAUUACUUUUUCAGGAAGAUGAUGCAAACAGUGUCCAGCUUUUGCCAUCAUACAGGCCUAGAAAUGUGCACUG